rnacentral:lncRNA from 1 species
UUUUAUUUAAUGCACUAUGGUGAAUAAUUGUUUUUGACAGUUAGUUCAAGGAGGUUUCAACAACUCAGUAGGCAAUACAAUUUUUAAGAAAUUUCUCAAAGUACAUUAAGAAAUAUUUAAGCUACAAAGGUUCAACAGCAUCAGGUAAAACAGAAGCGAAAUAUAUUAUUGGACAUUCAAACUCAUUUAUAAAAGUUGACUUUAGAUAAAUUUUGUUAUUUUUCUCUCCCUUUUGUUCACUAGGUCUUCUCAUGGUUUUUCUCAUACAUCAUUGUCUUUGAAUUGUAUUGGUUUAAUCUUUGACCUCUGUAAAUACAAAAUAGCGCUUCAUACCCACUACAUUGGCCAAGAGUUAUUUUCAAAAUAACAUAUAUUUUAUCAAAGAUUAAAUAUUAUAUAAAAAAAAGUUAAUCAAAGAUACCAGGCUUUUGAUUUGAUACUCAAGAAGUGUGUUUCUAAACAAGCUACACUUUCGGAUAUUUAUGUUUUACGAUAAUGCGAAAUCAGCACCGGAAAUACCGAUACGCGUUAGAAAUCAAUGAAUGUGUUUGUAGAUGGAUGUUUUUUUGUUCUGUUAAAUUGUUCCUUUUAAAAUUGUUAUACGAUGAUGACUGAUGUACCCAUAUUUUGACUGUUUUAUUUAUUGUGUCUGUUUAGUUAACGCAUCAAUGUAAAUAUAAGGGAAUUUGAUGAGACUGUCAUCAAAGUGAGAGGGUUAGCGCUAUAAAACCAGGUUUAAUCCACCAUUGUCUACAUUUGAAAAUGCCUGUACCAAGUCAGGAAUAUGGCAGUUCUUGUCCAUUCGUUUUUGAUGCGUUUUGUUAUUUGAUUUUGCCAUGUGAUUGUAGACUUUCCGGAUUGAUUUUCCUCUGAGUUCAGUAUUUUUGUGAUUUUACUUUUUUCGUAGUUCUGAUUCCUUGUCCGAAUUCAAAGAUACCUUUCUGUCAUGUUUGUUUUUAAGUUUUACAGAUUUCUUAACAACCUUUCAGAUAUCAAAUUGUGUGGCGUCGAACAUCACUGAAGAGACAUUUAUUAAAAAGUCGAAUUGUGUAUCUGGUGCAGACAAAUGAGUACGAUCAAUGUUAUCGUGAUGCAUCUAUUUUGCAAAUUAUACCUUAGAUCAAAUAAGUAUUAUCUUUUUUUAUUUUGAGGCACUACAUUGUGAUCAUUAAAAUUGCUCAAAAAUAAAAUUUUGCUAAGGGGAUCUAAAUUGUAAAACAACACAUCAAUUAAUGUGUUACCUUCUCUGUUUGGUAUUUGUCAAGGAAUCGAAAGGAAGGUUUAAUUAACGAUAAUUUUUUGCUUUGUUCGCUGCAGCAUAAACAACGGGAAAAUUUGACCCCGCCUAACUUUCCCUGCACUUUUCCAGAUUUUUCGCUGUUAAACUGUUAGUUAUCGAGUAUACACAUGAUUUAUAUGUAAAGUCUUCUCACUUGAGAGGGGAAAUAACUUAAAUAAAGGCACGGUAGUAUACCUCUGCUCAAAAGUCA